rnacentral:misc_RNA from 1 species
AAGUCGUAACAAGGUAACCGUAGGUGAACCUGCGGUUGGAUCAUUAAAUUGAAAAAAAGAGAAAAGAGAAUUCCUUUUUCUUUUUAAUUAAACAAUUUAGAGAUAAUUGAAUGUUUUUUUUUGUGAAAGAGAGUUUUAUCCAUUUUAAAUUCUUUAAUUCUCUCUUUCACAAUUGAUUUUAAACUAUUUUAAUAUAUUUAUAUAUAAUUUGAAAAAGAAUUGAAACAACUUUUGACAAAGGAUCUCUUGGCUCUC